rnacentral:lncRNA from 1 species
UUGUAUAUUAUUUUUAUUAUUUGUAAUUGGCCGAGUAUAAUAAUUAUUAAUAUAAUAUUCCUUUAUUAUGUUCAGUGAAUUAGUUGGUUGUGUCUCAUAACUAUCAAAAAUAUAUAAAUUAAAAUAUAAAUGAUAGUUUGACUACUGAAUUACAAACCUUGGAUUAGACACAUUAGUUUUUAUAUAUCAUUUGUAACUGAUUAGUCCAUAUUUUUGCAUAUUUAAGUGCCUAUUUUUUGUUUAUUUUCGUAGUAUUAAUCGCUUAUUUAUUUUAUUUCAGGAAAUUGUAGAUAAAUAAAGAAAGAAGAGAAAAUGCAAGAAAAAGAAAAAAAGGGUUGGAAAGUAAAGGACACAUGGAUGGCCACAAUUCUCCCAACACUCAAGGCACAUGGAUGGUCAAGAUUGAGCCUCCCUACCCCUAAACCCUAAUUCUUUAGUUAUAAAUACCCCUCUUCUUUUACUUGUAAUCACCAACCUAGUAACCUAGCCACCUACUCUCCUUUUCUACCUAGUGAUUUCUAUAGUUAGUAUCUUAGAUAGAUUUACAUUUUGCUAGCCCCAAUUUCCUUUCCAAGUUUGUACACACUUUUUAAUUUCUAUGCAAAUCUCUUUUAUCUUAAUCUUGUAUUGUCUUUUUAAUAUAUGUUCUCCAAGAUUGAAUGACUCUUCUAAGUACCACCACAUGCUUUUAAGCUUUUGGGAAAUGAAGAAUCAUUAAACUUGUGAUUAGUGUAGAUUUCUUACUUUUUAGAUUUAAAUUUUGGUAGAAACUUAAACUCUAGCACAAAAAUGAUUUGUGAGGGGGUUAAAAAUCUAGAUUUAAAGAGCAUCAUAUAUUAGUGUUAACUCAAGAUUUCGUUUGUUUUUAUUAUACAAAAUCAGCAGCCACGGAAUGAUUUGCUCUGUUUCUAAACAACAACCCACCUCCCCUGUUUUCAUUAGUUUUUUUUUAAUAAAUACGAAGUUGUGUGCAUCCCACUGUUCUGAUCUUCUUUUACACAAGUUAGGGUCGAUUUAGCUAAUUGUUUUUGCUGCUUUGUCUCUUGCUUCUCGAGUCAUGGCCCUGUUUAGGUUCUGAAUUUCCGAGUUGUGUUGAGUUGGUUAUCACCGAGUCUGUCGCUUUCUUUCCUUCUUUUUCACUACUGCGUUUUUCUUGAUGAUUUCACCGAGUAGGAGUCGAGUCUGUGUUCACGAGUUUAAGCACCGAGUCAGCCCCGCAGUUGUUAAGUUACCGAGUUGACUCCUGUGUUUUCUGCUGUGCUUGAGUCUGUUCCUAGUUUAUGUUUCUGCUCUUUUUCGUUUUUGAACUGAGUCACCGAGUCUGCCAUGUCUGCUUCAUUAGUUGGGUUUGGUUUAUGUUGCUUAGAAUCAGGUCUUUAGUGUGCUUUGUCUUUAAUUUCGUUGCUGUGUUUUGUUGCUGCAGUAUAGUCGAGUCAUUGGUUCGUUCUGUUGUGAGUUUUGCUUGUUUCCGAGUCCACUGUUUUAGCGAGUUUAAGGUGCUGGGUUUGUUUCAAAUCGCCGAGUUCUUCUUUUCCUGCUGUUUGCUGUUGCCGAGUCACUUCCUCUGUAUUUUGUUACCACUUCGUCACUUUCCGAUUAACCGAGUCUUUGUCGUAGUUUUCAGUUUUGAGUUUUGAUGAUUUACUGGGUUAGAUGCGGCCACAGUUUUGUUCAAGUCUACGGCCUGAGUUUACAGAAGUGUGUUUAAGUAAUAGUAUAAUAAGGGCCUGCAUUUUUCCUUUUGGUUGUUGCUGAGUGCGAUUGACUUUAUAUGUUUAACUAGUCAAAUUAUGCCUGGAUUUGUACGCGUUAUAACUUCACUGUUCUAAAAUGAAUCUUGGUUUAUAAAAAGCUUGUGUGGAUUUGCGGCUGGUUACUUAGUUUAAUUAAUUUCUUUUUAGACUUACAUUUUAGAUUUCGUUAAAAGAAAAACCUCCCUCACAAAUUUAUUGUUCUAAUUCGCCUAGAUUUAAAGUAAAGGAAUUUGCGGAAAAUAAUUUUAAUCUCUGUGGACGAAUCAUAAAUAUUAAAACGGUGAUCGUGCGCUUGCGAUUUUAUAAGGUAUAUUUUCUAGCACAUCAGUAACAAAUAUUGCAAUAAUUUGCUCAUUUGUAACAAAUCUUGCACUCCGUCCCUGUCUCAAGACAUUAAUUCUCCUAUUCAGUUGAGAAAAUCUAAAAUUUGCGAUGUCAAGUUGUCGAGACUAGUGCCUCAUUAAUUCAUUCCUAGACACAAUAAUUUCAUUCUAAAUUUGUGCCUUUUGAGCCACCAUGUCUUCAAGCAUCACCAUCUAUUUCCGCUUGACGGAAAUGACGAGCAUUGAUCAUUGCUACUGAAAUACUUAUAAUUUGAUUCUUUCAACAAAAAAGAAACCCAUAAGUUGAUGACUAUAAUUAUCCCCAUCUUCCAUUAUUUUCUUAAAUUCUUGAUAUUGUUUCUUACUUUGUAGUUUGAUUUGUUUUUCUUCCUCUAUGUUUUGUCUUUUACUCGUGUUCAUCUGGGAUAUUUAUAGGCGUGAGGCAUUCCGACCGCCCCGCUCAAACUCGAUCCAAUCCCCGCUUCGUUUGGAUCGGAAAAUCAGUGAAUUUUUCGAAGAAAGAGGGAACAUAAUUUUUUUAAAAAAAUUGGGAUCGGGACGGGUCGGGAUUUUGUAUCUCCUUGCCACAAUCCCCCGACCCUGAUGCAAUAAAUAAUAAUAAUAAUAAUAUAUUUAUGUAAAUUUAUACUAAAUAAAUUAAAAACAAAUAACAUAUUCUUACCCAAAUCAAGGUCCAAAUUCAUGUCAUAACCCAAUUCAAACUCCUUUGAAUCCUCCCGGUUUCAAUGAUUCGGAUAAACGCCUCAAUUCCUUAGAAAAGAGUUUGGAAGCCUUAGUGAAAUCGCAAACUAAUUUGACUCAAUCACAACAAACUUUCAUGACAACCCUAACCCAAGAUAGGCAAAUUUUGCAUUCUAACGUGCAAGCCGUGUCUAAGUUAGAGGCCCAAUUGAGUCAAUUAGCUAGCGCGUUGUGUGAGCGAGAAAAGAACAAGUUGCCAAGUCAACCCGAGGUCAAUCCUAAGUUUCCUCUCAAUCAAAGACCUCACGAGAAUGUUAAUGCGAUUAUUUCUCUAAGGUCGGGAAACCAAGUGGAUAACAAAGUUGGUGAGAACGUGAAUAAAAAUGAGGAGUCGAUUCCUGAACCAAAUCCUUCUUUGUCGAAUCCUAUCCCGGAUAAGCCCGAAUGUUCUAGAGUCCGUGAGUCUAUGAAUGAACCUAGUUCCGGGUCCAUUUCUCAAAAGCCCAACGAAGAAGUUUAUAAGCCGAGGGUUCCUUACCCACAAAGACUCAUUCCUCCUAAACAAUCGGCCCAAAUGGAACAAAUUCUAGAGGUUUUUAAACAAGUCAAGAUUAACAUUCCUCUUUUAGAUGCCAUUCAACAAGUUCCUUCUUAUGCCAAGUGUCUAAAAGAUUUGUGUACCCAUAAGAGAACCACUCAUGUUCCUAAGAAAGCCUUUUUGACCUCACAAGUAAGCUCGAUUCUCUCGAAUCAAAUUCCCGUGAAAUAUAAGGACCCCGGUUGUCCUACAAUUUCUUGUGUCAUAGGCAACACUUUUGUGGAUAAAGCUUUACUUGAUUUAGGAGCGAGUGUGAAUCUUCUUCCUUUCUCGGUCUAUCAAGCCCUAGGAUUAGGGGAUCUCAAGACCACCAAUAUGACCCUUCAACUUGCCGAUCGUUCCAUUAAAAUGCCAAAGGGGAUUAUUGAGGACGUGUUGAUAAAAAUCGGUGAUUUUAUCUUUCCCGUUGACUUUGUUGUUCUCGAGACUCAACCCGUCUCGAAUCCUAAGAACCAAAUUCCUAUCAUUUUAGGACGACCUUUUCUUGCUACAUCCAAUGCCUUAAUCAAUUGUAGGAAUGGUUCAAUGAAACUCACCUUUGGAAACAUGACCAUUGACUUAAACAUUUUCAACAUAGGAAAAGAACCCAAUGAGCUUUAUGAACAACCGAUAGGGGUUAAUGUGGUCAACAAGUUUGUCACAUGGUCCAGUUUUGAGGAUAGUGAGAUUGAGUCUCUUCUCAACGAGGAUUUCAAAGUCAACAACGAGAACAAUAGGGAAUAUCAUGAGUCGUUGAAAGAGUUGACCUCGGAGGAGUUGUUAGGAGAAUUGAACGACAUUUGUUCAAAAUGGGAAACUCCGCCCGAGAUUGUUCGUGUUGACCCUAGGCCCAAUUUUGAGAGUUAUGUAGGUGAAUCACCGACAUUUGACUCGUUGUCCCAUCAUUCGCAUAGUGCCUUAGGAAGAGAUGACACUGUUUCUUACAUCAUUCCUAGUGAUUUAUCCCUCGACCAAAAUUUAAUUGUCUCUAAUUUGCUUGAUAAUAAAGAAGCAUUAAGUUGGUUUAGGGAGAACAUUAGUGAUACUUGUCCAACAGGAGUGAAUGAUGGUCACAUGCUAGAGAAAGUCUUUGUGCCUAAAAAUUUUCGUACACAUUUUGACUCUUUCUCGAAGCUUCCUCCCAUAUUUCCUUCCGGAAUCGGCUGAAGUGGAUCCUCCUUCGAACCUUCCCUCGUGAAAUUCAGGUAUGGGGAAGGAAAUGUGUGAGUGUGUGGGUCUUGUUAGUGUUUCGUUCGUUAAUAAAAAUCCCCUUCAUAUCCAUUUCAGGUAUUUUUCUCUUUACUCUCUCAUUUCAAUUUUCUGUUUUGCAUACAUUGAGGACAAUGCAUGAUUUAGGUAUGGGGAGGGCUUUAGUGUAAUUCUAAAAAAUUAAAAACCCUAAAAAAAUGAAAAAUUAGAAAAAUCCAAAAAUAGAGAUACUUUUAGCUAAGUUGUCCUUCCCUCACUCGAACUUUAGGAGUAGUUGGUGUUUAGCAUGUUUUCGAAAAGUAUAUAUAUGUAGUGUCUUUUAGAUAAUUUGAACGUAGUUGAGUAAGGUUGUCUUUUUGAAGCUUGUAUCGACCGAUUUGUACUUUAAAUUCCAAGAUGGCACACACUUUUGCACGAGACCUUUGAUGGAGAGAUUGUCUAGUAAUAUUAUUCGAUACCUGAGAGAGAACCCACAUGUUGAAACAAUGUCGAAUCGAACCUUUGCGAAUAAAAAAAAAAGAAAAAAGAAAUAGAAAAAAAAAAGAAAAAAAAAAGAAGAGAAGGAAUAACUACUUCAAUACCCAUUGUUCUUUAUAGAUAAAAUCUUUAGAUAAAUGGGCAAAAGUAGAUUGGCUAGUCUCGUUUUGUGGCCUUUGUUACUCGAGCAAUUAAGUCCGUAGGGGGAUUUCAAAACCUAGUGCCCUAAGACCGUUUGGUUUGGGAGUCACUGACCCAAAGCUCGCUACAUGGGUAACAUUGUUUGCCUAAGAAAACGGACAAAAUUAAGUCGAUGCAAAAAAAAGAAAAAAAAAGAAAAAAGAGAAGAAUAAGAAUUUGUGAAGUUGGGCUAGAUAUUUGUUUCGAUAGAGAUUGGGUUAGUUCAAAAUUGGUUGAAAAAGAGAAAAUGUUAUUAGACGAUUAGGAUCCAUCAAAGGCCUUAAAUUACUUACACUCCUUGGAUUUCUAGUAAAUUUUUGUGUCGAUUCAAGUAGAUUAGAGACAACUGUAUCUUGAUUAUUAGUAGAUGAGUCUUUAAGUCGUAUUUUCCUUAAAAACGCUUUUUGUUAACACCGACGAAAUUAGGGUAGAGUCGAGUAGACACUUGCUAGAAUGUCUCGAAGAUUUUAUGGGUAUAUCUUCUGUAAACCCUUAGGAGACAAAACUCCUCUUGUAGAGAUCGUCUACGAGUUUAACGGGUUGGUGAACCUAAAAUCACCCGUCACGCCUACGAAAAGGAGCCUAGGAAUCGCAUCUAGUUUUCUUAGUUUAUUUUCUUUUCUUUUGAUUUUUACUCGAGGACGAGCAAAAGAUAGGUAUGGGGAAGUUUGAUUAGUCCAUAUUUUUGCAUAUUUAAGUGCCUAUUUUUUGUUUAUUUUCGUAGUAUUAAUCGCUUAUUUAUUUUAUUUCAGGAAAUUGUAGAUAAAUAAAGAAAGAAGAGAAAAUGCAAGAAAAAGAAAAAAAGGGUUGGCAAGUAAAGGACACAUGGAUGGCCACAAUUCUCCCAACACUCAAGGCACAUGGAUGGUCAAGAUUGAGCCUCCCUACCCCUAAACCCUAAUUCUUUAGUUAUAAAUACCCCUCUUCUUUUACUUGUAAUCACCAACCUAGUAACCUAGCCACCUACUCUCCUUUUCUACCUAGUGAUUUCUAUAGUUAGUAUCUUAGAUAGAUUUACAUUUUGCUAGCCCCAAUUUCCUUUCCAAGUUUGUACACACUUUUUAAUUUCUAUGCAAAUCUCUUUUAUCUUAAUCUUGUAUUGUCUUUUUAAUAUAUGUUCUCCAAGAUUGAAUGACUCUUCUAAGUACCACCACAUGCUUUUAAGCUUUUGGGAAAUGAAGAAUCAUUAAACUUGUGAUUAGUGUAGAUUUCUUACUUUUUAGAUUUAAAUUUUGGUAGAAACUUAAACUCUAGCACAAAAAUGAUUUGUGAGGGGGUUAAAAAUCUAGAUUUAAAGAGCAUCAUAUAUUAGUGUUAACUCAAGAUUUCGUUUGUUUUUAUUAUACAAAAUCAGCAGCCACGGAAUGAUUUGCUCUGUUUCUAAACAACAACCCACCUCCCCUGUUUUCAUUAGUUUUUUUUUAAUAAAUACGAAGUUGUGUGCAUCCCACUGUUCUGAUCUUCUUUUACACAAGUUAGGGUCGAUUUAGCUAAUUGUUUUUGCUGCUUUGUCUCUUGCUUCUCGAGUCAUGGCCCUGUUUAGGUUCUGAAUUUCCGAGUUGUGUUGAGUUGGUUAUCACCGAGUCUGUCGCUUUCUUUCCUUCUUUUUCACUACUGCGUUUUUCUUGAUGAUUUCACCGAGUAGGAGUCGAGUCUGUGUUCACGAGUUUAAGCACCGAGUCAGCCCCGCAGUUGUUAAGUUACCGAGUUGACUCCUGUGUUUUCUGCUGUGCUUGAGUCUGUUCCUAGUUUAUGUUUCUGCUCUUUUUCGUUUUUGAACUGAGUCACCGAGUCUGCCAUGUCUGCUUCAUUAGUUGGGUUUGGUUUAUGUUGCUUAGAAUCAGGUCUUUAGUGUGCUUUGUCUUUAAUUUCGUUGCUGUGUUUUGUUGCUGCAGUAUAGUCGAGUCAUUGGUUCGUUCUGUUGUGAGUUUUGCUUGUUUCCGAGUCCACUGUUUUAGCGAGUUUAAGGUGCUGGGUUUGUUUCAAAUCGCCGAGUUCUUCUUUUCCUGCUGUUUGCUGUUGCCGAGUCACUUCCUCUGUAUUUUGUUACCACUUCGUCACUUUCCGAUUAACCGAGUCUUUGUCGUAGUUUUCAGUUUUGAGUUUUGAUGAUUUACUGGGUUAGAUGCGGCCACAGUUUUGUUCAAGUCUACGGCCUGAGUUUACAGAAGUGUGUUUAAGUAAUAGUAUAAUAAGGGCCUGCAUUUUUCCUUUUGGUUGUUGCUGAGUGCGAUUGACUUUAUAUGUUUAACUAGUCAAAUUAUGCCUGGAUUUGUACGCGUUAUAACUUCACUGUUCUAAAAUGAAUCUUGGUUUAUAAAAAGCUUGUGUGGAUUUGCGGCUGGUUACUUAGUUUAAUUAAUUUCUUUUUAGACUUACAUUUUAGAUUUCGUUAAAAGAAAAACCUCCCUCACAAAUUUAUUGUUCUAAUUCGCCUAGAUUUAAAGUAAAGGAAUUUGCGGAAAAUAAUUUUAAUCUCUGUGGACGAAUCAUAAAUAUUAAAACGGUGAUCGUGCGCUUGCGAUUUUAUAAGGUAUAUUUUCUAGCACAUCAGUAACAAAUAUUGCAAUAAUUUGCUCAUUUGUAACAAAUCUUGCACUCCGUCCCUGUCUCAAGACAUUAAUUCUCCUAUUCAGUUGAGAAAAUCUAAAAUUUGCGAUGUCAAGUUGUCGAGACUAGUGCCUCAUUAAUUCAUUCCUAGACACAAUAAUUUCAUUCUAAAUUUGUGCCUUUUGAGCCACCAUGUCUUCAAGCAUCACCAUCUAUUUCCGCUUGACGGAAAUGACGAGCAUUGAUCAUUGCUACUGAAAUACUUAUAAUUUGAUUCUUUCAACAAAAAAGAAACCCAUAAGUUGAUGACUAUAAUUAUCCCCAUCUUCCAUUAUUUUCUUAAAUUCUUGAUAUUGUUUCUUACUUUGUAGUUUGAUUUGUUUUUCUUCCUCUAUGUUUUGUCUUUUACUCGUGUUCAUCUGGGAUAUUUAUAGGCGUGAGGCAUUCCGACCGCCCCGCUCAAACUCGAUCCAAUCCCCGCUUCGUUUGGAUCGGAAAAUCAGUGAAUUUUUCGAAGAAAGAGGGAACAUAAUUUUUUUAAAAAAAUUGGGAUCGGGACGGGUCGGGAUUUUGUAUCUCCUUGCCACAAUCCCCCGACCCUGAUGCAAUAAAUAAUAAUAAUAAUAAUAUAUUUAUGUAAAUUUAUACUAAAUAAAUUAAAAACAAAUAACAUUUGUAAUAUUAUUAAAAUUAAAAAAUAAUCUAUAAUUUUGUUCAUCAUUUUUUUAUAUUCUAUAAGUUUAAAAUUGUCAUUUAUUUCCUUACAAAAAAAUUGUCAUUUAUUUAUAUUAAAAACCAAUUUUAAUAUGAUUUAAUGUUAAAAAUACGGGGUAAUGUCAUCACUUUAUUAGUAUAUUACGAGUUAGUAGAUUGUUUUUUAUCAAAAAAUAUAUUUAUAUAUUAUAAUAUUAUAUUUUUUAUUAAAAAAUAAAAUUUUCCGAAUUCUUUCGGGAUCCCCGUUUGCGACAUGAAUCGGGGAGGGGAAGAAUUCUAGUUCGGGGUU